UGAUGAGGCCUGUGCAUAUAGGGCGGG
rnacentral:piRNA from 1 species